GCCAGACUCCUACGGGAGGCAGCAGUGGGGAAUAUUGCACAAUGGGGGAAACCCUGAUGCAGCGACGCCGCGUGAGUGAAGAAGUAUUUCGGUAUGUAAAGCUCUAUCAGCAGGGAAGAAAAUGACGGUACCUGACUAAGAAGCCCCGGCUAACUACGUGCCAGCAGCCGCGGUAAUACGUAGGGGGCAAGCGUUAUCCGGAUUUACUGGGUGUAAAGGGAGCGUAGACGGCAUGGCAAGUCAGAUGUGAAAGCCCGGGGCUCAAACCCGGGACUUCAUUUGAAACUGUCAGGCUUGAGUGCAGGAGAGGUAAGUGGAAUUCCUAGUGUAGCGGUGAAAUGCGUAGAUAUUAGGCGGAACACCAGUGGCGAAGGCGGCUUACUGGGCUGUAACUGCCGUUGAGGCUCGAAAGCGUGGGGAUCAAACAGGAUUAGAUACCCGCGUAU
rnacentral:rRNA from 1 species